AGAUUGAACGCUGGCGGCGUGCCUAACACAUGCAAGUCGAGCGGUAACAGGUGUAGCAAUACAUGCUGACGAGCGGCGGACGGGUGAGUAACGCUUGGGAAUCUGCCUAUCAGUGGGGGACAACCCGGGGAAACUCGGGCUAAUACCGCAUACGAUCUAAGGAUGAAAGCCGGGGACCGCAAGGCCUGGCGCUGAUAGAUGAGCCCAAGUCGGAUUAGCUAGUUGGUAGGGUAACGGCCUACCAAGGCGACGAUCCGUAACUGGUCUGAGAGGACGACCAGUCACACCGGAACUGAGACACGGUCCGGACUCCUACGGGAGGCAGCAGUGGGGAAUAUUGGACAAGUGGGGGCAACCCUGAUCCAGCGACGCCGCGUGGUGAAGAAGGCCUGCGGGUUGUAAAGCCCUUUCGGUGGGAAGAAAAGUUUCGGCCUAAUACGCUGAGACCUUGACGUAACCCACUAAAGAAGCACCGGCUAACUCUGUGCCAGCAGCCGC
rnacentral:rRNA from 1 species